CCUACGGGUGGCACCAGUGGGGAAUAUUGCACAAUGGGCGCAAGCCUGAUGCAGCCAUGCCGCGUGUAUGAAGAAGGCCUUCGGGUUGUAAAGUACUUUCAGCGAGGAGGAAGGUGUUGAGGUUAAUAACCUCAGCAAUUGACGUUACUCGCAGAAGAAGCACCGGCUAACUCCGUGCCAGCAGCCGCGGUAAUACGGAGGGUGCAAGCGUUAAUCGGAAUUACUGGGCGUAAAGCGCACGCAGGCGGUCUGUCAAGUCGGAUGUGAAAUCCCCGGGCUCAACCUGGGAACUGCAUCCGAAACUGGCAGGCUAGAGUCUUGUAGAGGGGGGUAGAAUUCCAGGUGUAGCGGUGAAAUGCGUAGAGAUCUGGAGGAAUACCGGUGGCGAAGGCGGCCCCCUGGACAAAGACUGACGCUCAGGUGCGAAAGCGUGGGGAGCAAACAGGAUUAGAUACCCGCGUAGUC
rnacentral:rRNA from 1 species